CCCCUCAGCGGCCGGGCGCCUCCCUCCUCCUUCUUCUGCGCCCCAAACUCCGCAUCCCCAGGAGCCCUCCGCUCCCUCCGUGUCCAGCCUCGCCCGGGGCCCGCUGCUGGACCCGGCAUCCCUCCACCUCCCUUCCUCAUCGCCCAAGAUGCCCCUGGCUCCUCGCCGGCCGCAGGAAUUUUACCGCUUCUUUAGCAAUCCCCUCCCCCUCCUUUAUUUCCCGAGGAAGCAAGUUGGGCAGCUUGAUUUCUUAAUUUUUCUUUUUUUUUUUUUUUUUGCGGGGAGGGUCGACUAUUCGAGGUGCGCCCGCAGGGGCUGGGUGGCGGGAAGAGGCAGGCGGUUCUCUCCGGCCCCUGCGCUAACCCAGCGGCGCGUUUUGUUUCCAGACCCCGAAGCCCCUGAACAAUAAUGCCAUCGCCAUGGCGGGCUCACCUGGUGCUGCGCCGCCUGCUCCGGGCGCCCGUGCCCUCUGCGCGCCACUCCCGGGCGCAGGUUCGGCCCGCGCGGCGCCGGUGCCGGGCAGGAGGACUCUUUGCCUUUCUUUGGGUUCUAUCUGUGCGUGUCAAUGGCGGCAAGCGGCAGUUCUCCGGGCCGCGGAUACUAGCGGGGGGAGGAGGAGGAGGGAGAAGGGAUUGCUCCUUCUCCACAUAACCACCUCUAGGAGGAGUCGCUCAGCCUCAUCCCCCGCCAGCCCAGGCUCCGCGAUGGGUCCGGGGCUUUCGGUGGGGCUCGAUGAGCUAUUGUCCUUCAGGAGCACUAAAGAUGAAGCCGCGCGGCCUCCUCGUCGUUGGCGGAUCUGCUGGAUGCGCCUUGGGCCACUUGCUAAGAUGAGGCUUUCCCCAGAGCUGAGGGCAGAGGCUGUGGUCACGAUCCUGUGUCUUCUGUUAGCAGGACCCCCCUUUGGUGAAAGAAGGCGGCGUGGGCGUUCAUCGGGCAAUUCUGGAGAAAUUCUUAGAAGGUGAAAGCGAAAAAUGCCACCUUCGAUGGUCAUAAUAACAAAUGCAUUAACGUUUGUGUCCACCACUGGGAAAGUAGCAUAGGUAGGGUGGCCACAGCUACAAGAACUGAGAAUUUAUACCCACGCCCCUGGGCUUUUUAUAAAUUAAGAUCGAUUUAGAACCCAGCGUUCUGUAAUAUGUGGAGUAGCAAAUGUAUGCUUUGGUGGGUAAGACUGUAUGCAUGGACAUGAUCUUUAAUUUGGUUGUUUUAUAGUGUGUUAAUUUGUAAUAUCGCAGCGAGUAUUAAGAUUAGCACGAGUCUAUUAAGGACCAAUUUUUAUUAGUUUCUAGAAAAUAUAUUUUUAUGGGGUUGUAGUAGACAAAAUCAGGUGUGAUAAUGGGAUUAGGAGUUGUUCUGUUCUUACUGGAAGCCAAUACUGUCCUUUGUAACUCGAGAUGUUGGCCAGGGCUCCAUGGCUGAGGGAGGGGGUUGUGUCAAAAGAAUUUGUUUAUUUCAGUGGGAAAUGCUAACUUGCUAUGGGCCAUUCAUAAUUCCUCCGAUUUCUCCAUGAUGAAUCAAAGGAUUGUGAGAGGCAAAAUUUUGAUCUCUUCUGAAAUGAGAAACUGUGAGGAAAACAGAAUUCUCUGGUAUUGGUGGAAUGGAUGCUUUUCAAAGUCUUUCCCACUUGGUAGUAUUGUGUAUAUUUGUCCCUGUAAACUUGUAAAUGUUUAGGCAAUGGGGAACCUUUGGGUGACAGAGCUUCCAGUGAGUGGGAAGAACCAAAAUGCCCUCUGCCCUCUGGAUUUAUACUAGUCAGGGCUAUUGCUGGAAUUAGUACAUAGAGCUUUAGAUCAUGUGCUUUUUAAACAAAUAUUUUGCUGACAAAUCAAUCAACUUUCUAAAAUAUCAUGCAUGUAUCAUAAAGGUAUAAAUAACUCUCUCUCUGUUUAAAUCUCAUGUGGCUUCUCAAACUCUCCUGGACCCAAAGGUCUCGGUUUAUUGGGACUUCCUCCACUCUUCUUCCUUUUACCCUCUAUGUAUGACCUCACUGUUCUUUGUCUUUGAAGGUACUCUCCAGGUCAGAAAUCUAGUUGGGAUAAAGUCCUCUUUUCCUGAGACAUAUAUUUAAAGGGUUUUAAAUGACCCCCUGGGGCAUCUCAUAAUGGUUUCGAUUUCCCCUUCCUAGAGGAAGUGCCUAUCUCCCUUCUUAUAUAGAUUUCUGGUGUCCAUUCUUGAUCAGAAAUAACCUCCAGGCCAACAUUCAAGAGGGUUCAGGGGGCUUCUGGGAGUGCUUGAAGAAUGUUCCUACCCUGGGACCCGCUCAGCCCGGCUGACUGAGAUAUAGUUGAGUAAUUCAUCAAUAUGUAUUAGAUUCACAUUCUCCCUGUAACUUCCCAAUAAAAAUGGUACGUGUGGUCAUUUUUAUGUGCCUUUCAUGUAACUCAUUUCAUCCUAGCAUUUUGUUAUGUGCUAUCCUGAGAAAGGCUGGAUCUAAGAGAUUCUCCCAUAUCCUACUGGUUGGUUUCUUCCAAUACAUGAUACACUCGUGACUCAGAGAAUCUGAGGGAAUGUCAGCUUUGUAAUUCUCUUGUUCUUAGACUAGAAGGGAUCAUAGAGUUCACCUGGUCAAACCCUUUAUGUUAUGGGAAGAAAUCUGGUAUUCAGGUGGGUGAAGUGGCUCAGCCAAGAUCACACAGAUAAUUAGUGGCAGAGACUCCAGUGCAUUUCCAGAUACAUAGCCUAACGCAGUUCCACCAACUCCAAACUUCUUAGGAUGUAUACGGAACAAAUAUGCCACCUAAUAUGCAGAUCUAGUUAAAUCAUAUAUACUUAAUAUUGAACAUUUAACACGUGCACAAAAAUUUCACACAGAUAAUAUUGUGUAGUUAAAGUACAUUUAAAAUAGUCAACAUGAUUAUAAGUUCAUCAGUGAUCUUGAGUUCUGCAGUGGCCUCCAGCUCAGGGAACCCCUGGCAAGGUAAGUAAUAAAUAGAGAUAAUAAGAGUUUACACGUAUUGAAUGCUUAUGUGUGUACUGCGAGUUACCUUUACUAACUCAUUUAACCCUCACAAGAGCUCUAUGGGGUGGGCACUAUUUUCUUCUUUUUACAGAUGGGGAAACUGAGGCAGAGUGAAUGAGACACUUGCCCACAGUUACAGAGAAGAAAUAACAUGUCUGUUGAAAAAGGAUUUAUGGACGACAGGCUGCCCAAUCCACCAGCCAUUGAAACUGGGCUAGGUCACAUGAGAGGUACAAAAGACGUGUUCUCUUCUCUCAGGAAGCUUGCAGUCUACCUGAUGACUCAGAGCAAGGCAAGAGGUGCAGAAACCACCCCGACAUUAUCAGCAAAAAACGGUUAUCAAGAGUCAGUGGUUAUCUUAUCACCUAACACCUUUCUUAAGUUAACACCGAUUCCUAUAUUUUGGUUUUCCAAAACAUUUUUAAAAUUAGCUGAGCCAGAUUUUACCCCAAAAUAUUUUAUUUUAUUGACUUUGAAUUAAUUUUUGUUUUUCAAACACUUUAAAAAAAUAGAUACUACUUGAAUAUGAUACACAAAUCAAAAGGUACAAAGGUAGACGAUCCAUGAGGUCCUUUCCCCUGUGUCCCCCAGGCAGCCAGUUGCCCUCUCCGAGGGAACACUGGAGGAGUCUUAAUAUUCGAAUCCCAAAGGGGACAGAUUCUAAGACAGCACAUUUGCUCCUCUCUGCUGAGGUUUCAGGCAGGAGAGGACACAGGCUCAGAGGCAAGAUCUUGGUGAAUGUCUCAAUGCGGGAUCUCCUGCUGGUGCAGUGGCACAGUGAAAGGCUCCCCACUCCUGAUCUAGGAAAAUCCCCCCAAGACAUAAGUCGAAACCCAGGGACACAGCUGGCACUGAAAGACACUUUCUCUCUCAGGCUGACAGUGCAGGAUCCCAGCUCUGAAGAUAAGAGGACCCUCUCUUUACCUCUUGAUGGAUCCUUGAAGAUGCUCAGAUGCCAUUCCACUUUAUUUCCCACAAAUACCUCCCAGUCGUGGGGCUAGAGAUGAAGUGGACAUGCUCCUGACCCCCAUUAUGUAGACAAGUCUCUCAGGAUGUUUGGACUCAGCCUGUUUGCCUCCAAGCUCCACACUGCAAAGGGCGUCAGAAAUGAUGACGUGGUUGUUGGCUGGGAUCAUGUCCAAGCUCAUGUGUGCUUGGGAACUCCUCAGCCUGGGGUCCAUGGGCAGGGUCACCUUCAGCUGGGUCUGCUGCUCUCUGGUUUGGGCUGCCAACCUUCCCAUCUGGAGGAUGGGUGUCAGCUCAGCCUUGGGGGAUCUGAGGGUGGUGAGCCAGGGCAUAGCACUGCCCCCGGGCUGCAUGGACACGAGGUUGUUACAGCCAACAUACUCUAGGAGCUUGGGUUUCAGGAAUAGUAUGGGUGAGGCUGCUCGUGGCUUCCUGCAGCCGUUCAGCUAUGGCCUCCUCAGGCCUGGUUCUCAGCAACCCUCCUGCCUACCCCCCUUCGCAACCCUUUAUGGAGGAAUUCCGAUGUCCACUCCUGGGCCUCAACACACCACUCCCUGCCUCACCUAAUUAUUCCUUCCAUUUCAUUUGGGUUGGGGAAAUGUGCUCAGAGUGAGAGGGGAGAGAGUUCACACCAAAGGAGACUCAGUCAUCCACACCUUUGCUGUUCGUAGAGGUUUCCACCUUGAUUUCUCUCUCUCUUUCUUUCUCCCUCCUUCCCUUUUCCCUUCCUUCAUCCUUCCUCCC